AUGGUCCGGCGAGGGGGAGAGCUCGGGGGACAGGUUGCCGGAGUUGAAGCGGUAGAGGCUGAAGGAGCGCAGGCGCUCCAGCACGGACGGCGCGCGCGCCAGCGGCGCCGGCCUGUAUGGAGGCACGUACUCCUCGCGGUAGUACUGCUCCUCCUCCGGCUCCUGCUCCGGCGGCGGUGUCGUGAAGCUGUUGUAGUUGUCGGUGAACUCGGUGUCCGCCCUCGCGGCGUGCUCUACGAGGUCGUCGUCGUGCUCCUCCUCCUCCAGCACGGCCGGCUGGACCACCCGAGCCGCCGGCGCCGGGGCCACCUCGGCCCUCCUCGCCUCGGAGCUGGACCUCUUCAUCUUCGACGGCGGCGCCCGCCUCCUCUCCACCCGCGCCGGGGGCUCGGACCGGCUCCUGGCGUGGUGGGCGUCUCCGGCCGUCGGCGCUGGUUCCGGUUCCGGAGAGGCCGUCACAUCCCGCGAGUCGGUCACGGCGCCCGCGGCGUACUCGGGCGGGAAGUCGCCGGAGCGGAAGCGGUAGAGGCCGAUGGAGCGGAGGCGGUCGAGCACCGACGAGGUGCGCGUCAGCGGCGCCGGCGCCGGCGGCGGGGGCACGUACUGCUGCUGCUGCUGCUCGUGCUGCUGGUCGCGGUAGUACAGAUCCUCCUGAUGCUGCUGCUGCGGCUCCACGUGGUGGAGCGGUUCUUGUUGGUGGUCGCCGUCGUGGCCGCCCUGGCGUCGGCGCUGGUGGGAGCGGGAGGUGAGCAGGAUGGUGCCGAUGACGAGGUUGACGGUGAGGAAGAGCGUGGCCGGCGUGAAGAAGCCCUGCACAGCCUCCCACGCGCCGAGCGCCGCGGCCGUCGCGCCGCCGUCCAUCUGCGCGGGCACCGGCAAGUACAGGGAGGGAGCGAGGGGCCGGCUUGGGGCCUGGCCGUGCGCGGUUGGAGCUGUUGUUGGGUGGGCCGAGGAGGUGGUGGGGAUUGGCGCUUGAUGACGGGGUGGGGUGCGGGGAGUCUCACAAGUGGUGGUGGCGCCGGGCGUUAA
rnacentral:rRNA from 1 species